rnacentral:pre_miRNA from 1 species
AAAAAGAUAAACCCUAGGUUUCCGUGCCAACGUUUGACCAUCCGUCUUAUAUGAAAUUUUUUUAUAAUUAGUAUUUUCAUUGUUGUUAGAUGAUAAAAUAUGGUUAAUACUUUAUGCAUAACUUAUCUUUUUAAUUUUUUUAUAAUUUUUUCAAAUAAUACGGAUGGUCAAACGUUGGACACGGAAACCAGGGUUUGUCUUUUU